rnacentral:lncRNA from 1 species
UCUGGGGUUUGUGGACUUCUUUUUGUGCGCUAAAACCCAAAAAAACUGGGCUUUAAAUGUGUGGAUGUUUAAGAAAGCAAAAAACAAAAACACAUUUGAUAAGAAUAUAAGAAAUCCGGGAGGAGAGUGAGAUCAUUUGCUGCUGGCUUGAAAAUAUCGGGGAAAUUUCCUUUGAGAGACGACCUGCGCACGGAGGCAUCUCCCCCUACCAAGGCAUACCAGCAUCAUCACCCAGAGCAUAAAGCCAACAUCUCUCACACCAGUAAUGAGCUAAAGGUGCGUUCACUUUCUCUCUCCCCAACAUGGGCACUGAAUAAAAAAGUGUGUGAAUUAGUCCCGACACAUCAGGUCCCAGCAGACUGUUUUCCAUCCUGUUAAACUGCCUUUUCCUGUUUCUGCCUCAGUGCCACAAGCAAUAAUGAUUUCUGCCUUUCAUAGCUUAAAAAAAACAGUGAUAACUGUUCAGCCUCUAUUUGCCUUCGGGAGGAUGUGAAAGAGGGCUUGUAAAAACUGAUAUGUAAUAUGAUGUAAUUCUUGAGAAUGUGGCUAUCAAAGCAUUUGCCCUCCAGCCACAUGUACCCAAAGUUACCGUAACACUGGUCUUACAUCUCGCAUGCUUCGCAGUUUUUUUCCUCCUUGGAAAAAAAACAUUGAAUACAUUAAAGGCAGAUCUAAUCGAUCCCAAGUGUGCUUAUCAUGGGCUGGCAGGCUGAUGAGCCGAUUUCAGAGCAGCACAUUCUAAUCCUUCAACUGCUGCCUGAAAACUCACGAUUGAGUCGAUAACGGACAAAACAAGGUCUGAAUACGUCGGAAAUAGGCCAGAAAAACUGCGCCAAUCGAUUCAGGUGCCAUACAAUGAAAAAACCCAAUGACAAAUAACAUCAACGGGGACUAAUUCACGUGCAGUUACACCAUUCGCGAGCUCGUGAUUUGAGCGUGCCACCCAAUCAAUCACUCAAUCCAAUUAUCUAUGGGCCCAGGACGAAUCCUGGGAAUGAAUCUCUGUCCAAGUUUUAGCAAUGAUCUCCACUCUGCCGUUAAUAUCAGCUUUUUGGACAACACUGACGAGAAUGACAAAUUCAGAGGCAGUGAGUGAGCGUGAAUAAUCAGUUAUCUGAGGCUUAAUGUCACCCUCCAAACAUAUGUCACUCUAGCAUAAAUAAAGACGUUUAAAGUCUUCCUCCAUGUCUGUUUCUACCUGGAUUAAACAUCAAGACUGCCUAUAAACGUGUCCUCUAUUGACAUCUAUUGAUUCAGCUGGUGACUUAUUUAAUUCUGGGUUUCAAAGGGGUUUAGCAACGCUGCGUGCUGAUUGGGUGUUUAACCUUUUGGCCUCCAAACUGAGAUCUGAGCACAUAUCCCAUAAUGGGACACAUUCAUCCAGAUGACCUCUCCUGUCACCAUGACAGCUCAGCAGCAGGCAAGCCGACAAAGAGAUCCGAUGUGUGCAUCUCGCCUUUGUAGAAAAAAGAGAGACGAAACAAAAGUGCUUAUCUGAACUUGUCUCAGGUCACAUCACUCCUCCUCCUCUCCCAUUUGCCUUUCAAUGCUUUUUUUCCUGCCAAAUGAAAGCAGCAUAUUUAUGGCCUUGUCUAUGGCGACGGGGGAGCCUAUGUGUGCUUUCCUGUUAUUUUAGUCUUUAGCGGGUUUCACACAGAGAUAGCGGGAGAACAUUGGGGCCAGCGUCCAUUCUUCUUCUUUGUUUAUUGUGCUUUCAUGAUUUAAGGAGAUAUUACCCUCCAUUUCAGUGUACAGGCAGCACGGCCACAAAGCUUCA